rnacentral:rRNA from 1 species
AUUGAAUGCUGGCGGCAGGCCUAACACAUGCAAGUCGAGCGGAUGAAGGGAGCUUGCUCCUGGAUUCAGCGGCGGACGGGUGAGUAAUGCCUAGGAAUCUGCCUGGUAGUGGGGGAUAACGUCCGGAAACGGGCGCUAAUACCGCAUACGUCCUGAGGGAGAAAGUGGGGGAUCUUCGGACCUCACGCUAUCAGAUGAGCCUAGGUCGGAUUAGCUAGUUGGUGGGGUAAAGGCCUACCAAGGCGACGAUCCGUAACUGGUCUGAGAGGAUGAUCAGUCACACUGGAACUGAGACACGGUCCAGACUCCUACGGGAGGCAGCAGUGGGGAAUAUUGGACAAUGGGCGAAAGCCUGAUCCAGCCAUGCCGCGUGUGUGAAGAAGGUCUUCGGAUUGUAAAGCACUUUAAGUUGGGAGGAAGGGCAGUAAGUUAAUACCUUGCUGUUUUGACGUUACCAACAGAAUAAGCACCGGCUAACUUCAUG